rnacentral:lncRNA from 1 species
UUUUGACUUUGCACGGAAAGAUGAGCCAGAUGCUUUCAAAGAGCUGGGGACAGGAAAUAGAAUUGCUACAUGGCUGUUUUAUAUGAGUGAUGUGUCUGCAGGAGGAGCCACUGUUUUUCCUGAAGUUGGAGCUAGUGUUUGGCCCAAAAAAGGAACUGCUGUUUUCUGGUAUAAUCUGUUUGCCAGUGGAGAAGGAGAUUAUAGUACACGGCAUGCAGCCUGUCCAGUGCUAGUUGGCAACAAAUGGGGUAAAUAUUUCAUAUAUUCUGCGAAGAUAAUGUAAUUUUUGUUUCUUAUUUUGGAACUAUUAUCUGUGUCUUAAAAACAAAAGCCCCCAUGUUUGCUUAAUAUGAUUUUAACAUUGUACAGGAUUCAGCCAAACAAGUGCCUAAUCAUAAUACAAAUUUGAAAUCAG